AUGGCCACGCCGCCGGUCCUCGCCUCCCGCGGCGCCCACGCCGCCGCCACCACCACCGCCACCUGCGCCUCCCAGCACCUUGCCGCGGCCACCUCCAGGGAGCCCCCGCCGCGCGUGCGGCCCAAGCGCGGCGGCACCAAGUCGCUCGUCCUCUCGCACGCGGCCGCCGGCCGCAUGGACGACGCCCUGGAGGCCCUGGCGGCCGCCGGGAGCGGGGACGCGUUCCUCCACAACGUCGUCAUCCGGGGCCUCGCCGACGCGGGCCUCCCGGGCGCCGCGCUGGCCGCCUACCGCGCCAUGCUGGCCGCCGGCGCGCGCCCCGACCGCUUCACCUUCCCCGUCAUCCUCAAGUGCUGCGCUCGGCUCGGCGCGCUCGACGACGGCCGCGCGGCGCACUCGGCGGCGAUCAGGCUCGGCGUGGCGGCCGCCGACGUGUACACGGGCAACUCGCUCCUCGCCUUCUACGCCAGGCUCGGCCUGGUGGGCGACGCCGAGCGGGUGUUCGACGGAAUGCCGGCCAGGGACAUCGUCACCUGGAACUCCAUGGUCGACGGCUACGUGUCCAACGGCCUCGGGGCGCUGGCCCUGGACUGCUUCAGGGAGAUGCACGAGGCGCUGGAGGUGCAGCAUGACGGCGUCGGGAUCAUAGCCGCGCUCGCCGCUUGCUGCUUGGAAUCGGCGCUGAUGCAAGGGCAGGAGGUCCACGCCUACGUGAUCAGGCAUGGGAUGGAGCAUGACGUCAAGGUUGGCACUUCUAUCCUUGACAUGUACUGCAAGUGUGGCGACAUUGGUUCUGCCGAGGGCGUGUUUGCGACGAUGCCAUUGAGGACCGUGGUGACAUGGAAUUGCAUGAUAGGUGGGUAUGCGCUCAACGAACAGCCCGAGGAGGCAUUUGAUUGCUUCGAGCAAAUGAAGGAAGAGGGCCACCAGGUGGAAGUGGUCACCGCUAUCAAUCUGCUGGCUGCCUGCGCUCAAACUGAGAGCUCACUGUAUGGAAGGAGUGUUCAUGGUUACAUAACUAGAAGACAGUUUCUUCCUCACGUGGUGCUCGAGACUGCGCUUCUCGAGAUGUACAGCAAAGUUGGCAAAGUGAAAUCAUCGGAGAAGGUAUUUGGACAGAUGACGACCAAGACUCUGGUAUCGUGGAACAAUAUGAUCGCUGCGUACAUGUACAAGGAGAUGUAUGUGGAAGCCAUCUCAUUGUUCCUCGAAUUACUGAAUCAGCCUCUUUAUCCUGAUUAUUUCACCAUGUCGGCAGUAGUACCGGCGUUUGUUUUGCUGGGGUUGCUGAGACAAUGCAGGCAGAUGCACGGCUACAUUGUCAGGCUAGGUUACGGGGAGAGCACUCUCAUCAUGAACGCAGUUAUGCAUAUGUAUGCGAGGUGUGGCGAUGUUGUGUCCUCAAGGGAGAUAUUUGACAGAAUGGCAGGUAAGGAUGUCAUCUCUUGGAACACAAUGAUAAUGGGCUAUGCGAUUCAUGGUCAGGGGAGAACUGCACUGGAAAUGUUCUCUGAGAUGAAAUGUAAUGGCCUGCAACCAAAUGAGAGUACCUUUGUCUCCGUGUUGACUGCUUGCAGUGUUUCAGGCUUGACAGAUGAAGGCUGGACGCAGUUCAACUCAAUGCAACGUGACUAUGGUAUGGUCCCACAGAUUGAGCACUACGGAUGCAUGGCAGAUCUGCUCGGUCGGGCAGGUGAUCUUAGAGAGGUUAUGCAAUUUAUUGAAAAAAUGCCAAUAGAUCCAACAUUCAGGGUUUGGGGCUCCCUACUGACUGCAAGCAGGAACAGGAAUGAUAUGGAUAUAGCAGAAUACGCAGCAGAGAGGAUAUUUCAACUCGAACAUGACCAACAAGAACAUGACAACACAGGUUGCUAUGUUCUUAUUUCUUCCAUGUAUGCCGAUGCUGGGAGAUGGAAGGAUGUCGAGAGAAUAAGAUCACUGAUGGAGGAGAAGGGGCUGCGAAGGACAGAACCAACAAGCAUAGUUGAGCUUCAUGGCAUCUCCUGCAGUUUUGUCAACGGGGACAUGACACACCCUCAGAGCAAGAUGAUUCAAGAAGUGUCCAACUUUCUGUCAGGAAAGAUUGGAGAAAUGGUUGACCCAACGAAUCAAUCUGAUCCAACCUCUCUGGAGUCGAGGAGAACAACAGAGCCUAACAAGCAUAGUGUGAGGCUGGCUGUUGUCUUUGGUCUGAUAUCAUCCGAGGCCAGAACCCCAAUUCUUGUCAAGAAGAAUGUGCGUAUAUGCAACGACUGCCAUCAUGCGCUGAAAUUGAUAUCGAAAUAUUCAGGACGGAGAAUUGUUGUUGGCGACACAAAUAUCUAUCACCAAUUCUCAGAUGGCUCUUGCUGCUGUGGUGACUACUGGUGA
rnacentral:rRNA from 1 species